GGCUGGUUGGCUCUUCCUCCUCCUCCUCCUCCUCCUCUUCCACAGCCUCACCUUUGUGGAAGCUGAUGAUGGAUGUGUGAUGGCCAGAGACAACAAUGAGGGACAGGGAGGUGACUGCCUCCCCCACUCCAAGGAUGGCAUCCAGCUGCUUGUAAAAGUGGCAGGUCUAUGGUGCUGCUCCAAGGUGAGAACUUUGUUCAUGUAGACCAUACCUGGUCCUGGGUGGUGGUCAUCCAGGUGUAGA
rnacentral:miRNA from 1 species